rnacentral:rRNA from 1 species
AUUGAACGCUGGCGGCAUGCCUUACACAUGCAAGUCGAACGGCAGCACGGGAGCAAUCCUGGUGGCGAGUGGCGAACGGGUGAGUAAUACAUCGGAACGUGCCCAGUAGUGGGGGAUAGCCCGGCGAAAGCCGGAUUAAUACCGCAUACGACCUACGGGUGAAAGCGGGGGAUCGCAAGACCUCGCGUUAUUGGAGCGGCCGAUGUCAGAUUAGGUUGUUGGUGGGGUGAAGGCCUACCAAGCCGACGAUCUGUAGCGGGUCUGAGAGGACGACCAGCCACACUGGGACUGAGACACGGCCCAGACUCCUACGGGAGGCAGCAGUGGGGAAUUUUGGACAAUGGGCGCAAGCCUGAUCCAGCCAUGCCGCGUGCGGGAAGAAGGCCUUCGGGCUGUAAACCGCUUUUGUCAGGGAAGAAACGGUCUGCACUAAUACUGCGGACUAAUGACGGUACCUGAAGAAUAAGCACCGGCUAACUACGUGCCAGCAGCCGCCGUAACAC